GACAGAGGGGGCAAGCGUUGCUCGGAAUUACUGGGCGUAAAGGGCGCGUAGGCGGGAUGGCAAGUCGGUCGUGAAAUCCCUCGGCUCAACCGAGGAACGUCGAUCGAUACUGCUGUUCUUGAGGAUUGCAGAGGAGACUGGAAUUCCCGGUGUAGCGGUGAAAUGUGUAGAUAUCGGAAGGAACACCAGUGGCGAAAGCGGCUUCCUGGUCCAGCACCGACGUUCAGGCACGAAAGCGUGGGGAGCAAACAGG
rnacentral:rRNA from 1 species